AGAGUUUGAUCCUGGCUCAGGAUGAACGCUAGCGGCAGGCUUAACACAUGCAAGUCGAGGGGCAGCGCGGGGCGGCAACGUCCUGGCGGCGACCGGCGGAAGGGUGCGUAACGCGUGAGCGACAUGCCCGUUGCCCGUGGACAACCGGUGGAAACGCCGACUAAUCCACGAUGGGACGAGUUGCUGCAUGGCAGCUCGUUGAAAGUUACGGCGGCGACGGAUUGGCUCGCGUCCGAUUAGCUGGUUGGCGGGGUAACGGCCCACCAAGGCUACGAUCGGUAGGGGUUCUGAGAGGAAGGUCCCCCACAAUGGAACUGAGACACGGUCCAUACUCCUACGGGAGGCAGCAGUGAGGAAUAUUGGUCAAUGGGCGGAAGCCUGAACCAGCCAUGCCGCGUGCGGGAAGGAGGCCCUAUGGGCUGUGAACCGCUUUUGCCUGGGGGCAAUAAGGGCGCCGCGCGCGCCCGAUGAGAGUACCAGGCGAAUAAGCAUCGGCUAACUCCGUGCCAGCAGCCGCGGUAAUACGGGGGAUGCGAGCGUUAUCCGGAUUCAUUGGGUUUAAAGGGUGCGUAGGCUGUGCGUCAAGUCGGGGGUGAAAUUCCGGUGCUCAACACCGGGGCUGCCCUUGAUACUGUCGCGCUGGAGUGCGGAUGCCGCCGGAGGAAUGAGUGGUGUAGCGGUGAAAUGCUUAGAUAUCACUCAGAACACCGAUUGCGAAGGCAUCUGGCGAAUCCGUAACUGACGCUGAGGCACGAAAGCGUGGGGAUAGAACAGGAUUAGAUACCCUGGUAUUCCACGCCGUAAACGAUGAUGGCUAACCGCCGGCGACACACUGUCGGUGGCCAAGCGAAAGCGAUAAGCCAUCCACCUGGGGAGUACGUCGGCAACGAUGAAACUCAAAGGAAUUGACGGGGGCCCGCACAAGCGGAGGAACAUGUG
rnacentral:rRNA from 1 species